AUGAAUGUCAUGGAGGACCGUGAUCUGGCCUUCAUGCUCGAACGAAGCCCCGUCUUGGAGAUCCUCGUCAUCAUGGGGAGCCAGAGCCAAGUGCGCCUCCGCCUCAUCAGCCAAAGCCUGCGCUGCGUUCAGCUCGGCCACACCUACUUGGAGGACAUAGACGUGGUGGAUGCCCCCAGCUUGGAGAGGCUCUUCCUGUGGGAUACAAUUCUCACUGGCGAGCUCACUCCCCCCAGGAUGAGCUCCACCAGGAACCACUCUUCCAGGCUCAACAUUGGCCGUGCACCCAACCUGCGUAUGCUGGGAUACCUUCACCCAGGAGGACAAGAGUUGGGGAUUACCAACAGCGUCAUUGUGGCUGGUAGCAAGGAGAGCAUUGUCCCUAGCGUCCAAAUUUUGGCCAUAGAGGUGCAAUUUGGUAUCCGCGAUGCUGUCAAGAAAGUGCCUGGCUUUCUCAGAUGCUUCCCCAACCUGGAGACCCUCCAUGUCCAUUCCUCCUCCAUAUCUGAAGAGCCCACUGGGAAGGUCAAUCUGAAGUUCUGGCAGGAGGGCGGUCCCAUCAAAUGCGUCCUGCAGAGCCUGAAGAAGGUGUUUUUCAACGAAUUCCAAGGGUCGAAAAGCGAGGUUGCUUUCCUCAAGUUCAUCGCGGAGAGAGGGCGGGUGCUAGAGCAGAUGGCUGUUGUGGUGGCCCGUGAAUGCUUCUCUUUGGGGGGUAAUGUGAAUGCCAAACUGAAGCCUCUGACCAGUGCAAAAUGGAACAACAAAGCUUGCAAACUAGAGCUCUUCAAGAGCCCACACGAUGACGUGGGAGGUCCAGCUUACUCCGUUGAGAAAGCUUGUGAUUUCGAGUUUGCUGACCCUUUCGACCUCAACUACCACUACAAACCAGAAAGGAUCUCUGUAAGUUAA
rnacentral:rRNA from 1 species